rnacentral:rRNA from 1 species
UCUUGGUCAUUUAGAGGAAGUAAAAGUCGUAACAAGGUUUCCGUAGGUGAACCUGCGGAAGGAUCAUUAAUGAUUUGGUUAAUUGCACCACAUGUGUUUUUUAUUGAACAAAUUUUUUUGGUGGCGGGAGCAAUCCUACCGCCAGAGGUUAUAAAUAAACCAAACUUUUUAUUUACAGUCAAACUUGAUUUAUUAUUACAAUAGUCAAAACUUUCAACAACGGAUUUUUUGGUUCUCGCAUCGAUGAAGAACGCAGCGAAAUGCGAUACGUAAUAUGAAUUGCAGAUAUUCGUGAAUCAUCGAAUCUUUGAACGCACAUUGCGCCCUUUGGUAUUCCAAAGGGCAUGCCUGUUUGAGCGUCAUUUUUCCCUCAAACCCCCGGGUUUGGUGUUGAGCAAUACGCUAGGUUUGUUUGAAAGAAUUUAACGUGGAAACUUAUUUUAAGCGACUUAGGUUUAUCCAAAACGCUUAUUUUGCUAGGGCCACCACAAUUUAUUUCAUAACUUGACCUCAAAUCAGGUAGGA